rnacentral:rRNA from 1 species
GUAGGGAAUAUUGCGCAAUGGACGAAAGUCUGACGCAGCGACGCCGCGUGAGUGAUGAAGGCCUUAGGGUCGUAAAGCUCUGUUGAAUGGGAAGAAAAAAAUGACGGUACCAUUCGAGGAAGGACCGGCUAACUUCGUGCCAGCAGCCGCGGUAAUACGAGGGGUCCUAGCGUUGUUCGGAAUCAUUGGGCGUAAAGGGUGUGUAGGUGGCCAUGUAAGUCAGGUGUGAAAGCCCCGGGCUCAACCCGGGUAGUGCACUUGAUACUGCGUGGCUUGAGUACCGAAGAGGGUAGUGGAAUUCCAGGUGUAGUGGUGAAAUACGUAGAUAUCUGGAGGAACACCGGUGGCGAAGGCGGCUACCUGGUCGAGUACUGACACUGAGACACGAAAGCAUGGGGAUCAAACAGGAUUAGAAACCCGAGUAGUCC